GCACAUUUUGCUGAGUCCUCACCACAUGGUGGAGACAUGUUGAACAUAUGAUGCAUCUAACACAGUAUUAAACUCCUUAUAGGCCUCUUAAAUAGAAUAUCAGUACUUCAUCACUUGGUCUUUGCGUGUUUGUAUAUUCAAUUUUAACUUCCUAAAAUGAAUCAACCUUUCAUGGAAUAUUUACUUGGGUAAUCCUAGAACUCUGAAGUCUGAACAGUUACUUAUGGGCCAUUUAAACUUUUUUAAAAUGCACCAAUAUAGUCUUAAAUGGACACAAAGUAAACACACUCUACUUAGUCAAACAUUGGAUUGGGCAAUUCCAUUCAAAUAGGACUUGAUUGAUAUGUUUAAAAGGUCAAAUAAUAAAUGACAGUAAAAGAAAG
rnacentral:misc_RNA from 1 species